UUAGCAUGUUAAACAGGUCUUGGCUUCAGUGCAGUAGGCCAGGAUUUGGAAGCUGGUGCUUACAGUGAGUAUCUCCUGUUGAAUCAUGCCACUGGCUUUCAGUGUCUGUUGGACCACUCAGAAGGAGAAACAGAU
rnacentral:snoRNA from 1 species